rnacentral:rRNA from 1 species
GUAGGGAAUAUUGCGCAAUGGGGGAAACCCUGACGCAGCGACGCCGCGUGAGUGAUGAAGGCCUUCGGGUCGUAAAGCUCUGUUGCAGGGGAAUAAAAAAAUGAAGGUACCCUGUGAGGUAGGAUCGGCUAACUUCGUGCCAGCAGCCGCGGUAAGACGAGGGAUCCUAGCGUUGCUCGGAAUCAUUGGGCGUAAAGAGGGCGUAGGUGGCUUGGUAAGUCAGGUGUGAAAGCCCAGGGCUCAACCCUGGAAGUGCAUUUGAUACUGCUGAGCUUGAGUGUCGGAGAGGUUACCGGAAUACCUGGUGUAGUGGUGAAAUACGUAGAUAUCAGGUGGAACACCGGAGGCGAAGGCGGGUAACUGGACGAACACUGACACUGAGGCCCGAAAGCGUGGGGAUCAAACAGGAUUAGAAACCCCGGUAGUCC